rnacentral:lncRNA from 1 species
UUUAUAGCAUUUUGCACAACUUUUUUUUUUUUGGGUGAUUGGUGAUAAUGUGCAGCUAUAUAGACAAUAUUCUUAAUUGUAUAAGCUAUGAUUUAACCGAUAACCUAUAAUAGUUCUGCUUCAUACUUUCAACCUGUUGCUUUUUCCCUGUGCUUGAUUAAUCUCAUUCGUCCCUUAUUAUGUUGCUUCAUUUUCCCUAAGGGUGUGUUUGGAUUGAGGGUUUAGGAGGGGAAGGGAGGGGAGGGUUCACUUUUCAUUUUUAAAUUACGGACAACAUGAAAUGUCUUUUAAAAAGUUAACCUAUUAACAUGAUAAACGAUAAUAUAAUAUUUCUAUCACACUUGAUUUAUUUUAGAAAAACAUGUUAUAUAGUCCGUAGUUUAAAAAAGAAAACUAAACCUCCCCUCCCUUCCCCUCCUAAACCCUCCCCUCCCUUCCCCUCCUAAACCCUCAAUCCAAACACACCCUAACUUUCUUGCAUCAAGUUGUACAAGUAUCUUUGUAUGCAUUUGUUACAUUUGGCUCUGAU